CCUUCUUAAAAAUUGUGAUCUAUAUUUCAAUUAUGUAUCCCUCUAUUAACAUCUUCCUUGCCACAACCUACAAAAAUAGUUUAGCAGUUUUUAUGUUGCCCAUUCUUGUGUGGCAAGCGUAUUGCAUGUGCGUUUAAAAUUGCGUGACUGCGUGAGCUCUCUUGAAACUGCGUGAGCUAUUUGAUAAGCUAUAUUGCUCCUAGGGCAAGCGCUGUGCAGAAUGUAUAGUGAAAUAGUAUCAGCAGAAACAAUUUUCGCAUUUUCGCAAGAAUACCGUCUGGUGCAUACAGAGUCUAUUAAUAGAGCAAUAUAUGGUUUGGAAAUCUACGAUUAAAAUGAAACGUUGCAUGCUAAUCGACGAGCCCUCUUGAACAUGCGCGAUCGGGCUCUUGAUGAGCUAUUGCUCCUAGGGCAAACGCUGUGCAAAAAUAUGUUUAAAUAAAAAUUGCAUGUUUCACUGUUUGCAUUUCAUGCUUAUGUUAACCGGAAGAGGGAGGGGAGGGGAAUUUCUUCCCGUAUACGGUAGUUUGCACUCUGUUAUCACUUAUUGACCUCAGACGUUCGACAAGAAUUUAAAAUUUUAGUUCAGGGUCCUUGGACGCUCUAAAACAACCAAAUAGCCAAAUAUAUAGGUCUGUA